rnacentral:lncRNA from 1 species
CAACAUGCAUGAUGAUUCACGUACAGUGAAGCCAGGCAUGCUGAGUGACUUGUGUGCCAGACAGGGACAGGGAUUCAAUUUACCUCCUCCAUCCGUUUCUUCAAAGCUUUAUUUAGGCCUUAUUCAGUUCUCAAAAUUUUUCAAGAUUCCCCGUGACAUAAAAUCUUAUGACAAAUACAUAGAGCAUUAAAUAUAUAUAAAAAAGAUAACUAAUUGCAUAGUUACCUGUAAUUUACAAGACGAAUAUUUUAAGCCUAGUUAGUCCAUAAUUAGACAAUAAUUAUCAAAUAAAAACAAAAGUGCUACAAUAGCCAAACACAAAAAAAUUCGCGAACUAAACAAGGCCUUAGUUCCCAAAAUUUUUUGUAAAAUUUUAAAAUUUUCAUAUUCUUUGUUACAUCGAAUCUUACGAUACAUGCAUGAAGCAUUAAAUAUAGAUAAAAUAAUAAUUAAUUGCACAGUUUGUCUGUAAUUUGCGAGCCACUGAAUCUUUUGAGCCUAGUUAGUCCAUGAUUGGAUAAUAUUUGUUAAAUAUAAACGAAAAUGCUACAAUGUCUAUUUUGUAAAAAAAAUGGAACUAAACAAUGCCCAAAUCAGAUCCAGCCCUUCACAUGAGACUUGGUUGUUUUUUCGGACAUAGAUAGCAGAUAGCAGCAUAAUUCAUAGCUUCAAAAAAGAAAAAAAAACAAUAAUUCAGGUCUAUAAUUCAAAUGGACAUGUAGAUAACAGCUUAUCAAAGCACAAUAAAACACAAGUCCAAUAAUAGACUAACUAGGCUUAAAAUAUUUAAUGGCUCACAAAUUCUAGACAACUAUAUAAUUAAUUAUUUUUUAUCUAUAUUUAUUGUUUUAUGUAUGUAUCAUAAAAUUUGAUAUAAUGAGAAAUAUGAAAAAUUUAAAAUUCUACAAAAUUUUUUUUGAGAACUAAACAAAGCCUUGAAGAAAUAGAUAGAGGAGGUAAGUUACGCCGUGACUUGCUCAAGGCAAGUCACCGAAUCCCUGUCCAAAGGGGAGUUGGUCGUCACACUUCGCACGCUGAGAUGGAAGUAAGGAUAGGAACGGUAUUUCAAAGGUACCCGUGGUUCUUCUCUAAUAUAAUUAAAUAAAUUAAAUAAAAAAACAAGAAAAAAAUUAUUUAUUUAGUUUAUUAAAUUAAAUUAGAGAAAAACUGUGAUUAUCUAUUUAGAGGGCUAUCCUCAUCCUUAAAUGAGAAUUUAAUUUCGUCAUGUUUUUACGACCCUUUUUAACUUUGUGGCCGCCGUCGAUCUGCUCCGGUGUCUCGUGCGCUACCGUUGCCCGUCACGGUCAGGCUCACGCUCACUGGAGCACUAGUAGCACC